rnacentral:rRNA from 1 species
GACGAACGCUGGCGGCGUGCUUAACACAUGCAAGUCGAGCGGUAAGGCCCUUUCGGGGGUACGACGAGCGGCGAACGGGUGGAGUAACACGUGGGUGGACCUCGCCCUCCAGCUCUGGGAGUAAAGCCGUCGGGAAACCGGGGUACCGUAAUAACCGGAGUAUGACUCCAUGACGCAUGUUGUGGGGUGGAAAGCCUUGUGCGGCUGAGGAUGGGCCCGGCCGGCCUAUCAGCUUGUUGGUGGGGUGGAU